rnacentral:rRNA from 1 species
GGAUCAUCAGGUCGGUCGUGCCUCGGUACGUACUGGUCUCACUGGUUCCUCCUUCCUGAUGAACCGUAAUGCCAUUAAUUUGGUGUUGCGGGGAAACUGGACUGUUACUUUGAAAAAAUUAGAGUGUUUAAAGCAGGCUAACGCUUGAAUACAUUAGCAUGGAAUAAUGAAAUAGGACGCUCGAUCCUAUUUUGUUGGUUUCUAGGAUUGACGUAAUGAU